GACCGAAUUGCCCAGCUCCAGGAUUCAAUCUUCGAGCUAAGUGGUUCAUCAAAAGCACAAGCUACCAGGAUGGCACAAAUGGAGAAACAGAUUGAAGCCUUGAAAAGAGACAAAGUAGAACUAGCUGUGCAAAGGGACUCAGCCUUGAAGGAGGUUGAAGACCGUAAAAUCAAAUCUCAAGCUCAGUUUGAUGUCCUGGUUGGUAAGAUCAAGAAG